rnacentral:lncRNA from 1 species
GGGUUCUCUAUAAAUAGGAGGGAUUCACAGCCUCAUAGGCUAGAGUCUUUACUUGCCUUUCCUAUUCUCCUCUCCCUCUCCACCUCAGAGUAGGCCUGGAGUUUUGAGGAGCGUCGUCGCAACCCUGCUGUGUGGAUCACCGCUAGAGAGGAGGACGCUUGACCUCCUUCACCCUCUCCUAAGGAUCUGCAAGGAAACAGGGAUAUACGAUCUCCCUAGGUAACACAAUCUCUAUACGCAGUUUUGUGUUUUGCGGAAUUUUGUGCACCAAUCUUCGCACGACGGCGAACAUCUUUUUGGGAAUCGGGGAUUUUUGUUUUCUUGUUCUUCCGCUGCGCAUAUGAUGUCGCCCCCCAAUGAUUUCCCAACAGUGGUAUCAGAGCCAGGUUGUUCAUGCGAAUGAUUGGUUUUGAACUGCGUGUGUUGUGUUUAGGAAGAAUAUUGACGUCAAAAUCGUUGACGCAAAAGCGAGAAAGGGCAGCAACAGUUGCUGCC